rnacentral:rRNA from 1 species
GAUGAACGCUGGCGGCGUGCCUAAUACAUGCAAGUCGAGCGAACGGACGAGAAGCUUGCUUCUCUGAUGUUAGCGGCGGACGGGUGAGUAACACGUGGAUAACCUACCUAUAAGACUGGGAUAACUUCGGGAAACCGGAGCUAAUACCGGAUGAUAUUUUGCACCGCAUGGUUCAAAAGUGAAAGACGGUCUUGCUGUCUCUUCUAGAUGGAUCCGCGCUGCAUUAGCUAGUUGGUAAGGUAACGGCUUACCAAGGCAACGAUGCAUAGCCGACCUGAGAGGGUGAUCGGCCACAUUAGAACGUAGACACGGUCCAGAGUACUAAGGGAGGCAGCAGUAGGGAACGUGCCGCAACGGGCGAAAGCCUGACGGAGCAACGCGGCGUGAGUGAUGAAGGUGUCCGGAGCGUAAUACUCUGUUACUAGGGAAGAACAUAUGUGUAAGUAAAUGUGCAGAUCGUGACGGUACCUAAUCAGAAAGCCACGGCUAACUACGUG